rnacentral:rRNA from 1 species
GAAUGGAUCCUGGCUUAAAUCUACAUGGCCCCUGGAUUGGACUGCGGCCGAUCAGGCUGUUGGUGAGGUAAUGGCCCACCAAACCUAUAACCGGUACGGGCUCUGAGAGGAGAAGCCCGGAGAUGGGCACUGAGACAAGGGCCCAGGCCCUAUGGGGCGCAGCAGGCGCGAAAACUCUGCAAUGGGCGAAAGCCUGACAGGGUUACUCUGAGUGAUUUCCGCUAAGGAGAUCUUUUGGCAGCUCUAAAAAUGGUGCAGAAUAAGGGGUGGGCAAGUCUGGUGUCAGCCGCCGCGGUAAUACCAGCACCCCGAGUGGUCGGGACGAUUAUUGGGCCUAAAGCAUCCGUAGCCGGUUGUGCAAGUCCUCCGUUAAAUCCAGCCGCUCAACGGAUGGGCUGCGGAGGAUACUACAGAACUAGGAGGCGGGAGAGGCAAGCGGUACUUAGUGGGUAGGGGUAAAAUCCUUUGAUCCAUUGAAGA